rnacentral:lncRNA from 1 species
UUUUUUUUUUUUUGAGUUGGUGUCUUGCUCUGUCAACCAAACUAGAGUGCAAUGGCAUCAUCACAGCUCACUGGCAGCCUCAACCUCCCAGGCUCAAAGGAUCCUCCUGCCCCAGACUUUCUAGUAACUGAGACUAGAGGUGUGCACCACCAUGCCCAGCUAAUUUUACUUUUUGUAGCGACAUUGUUUUGCUAUGUUGACCAGGCUAGUCUCAAACUCUUGGGCUCAAGUGAUCCUUCUUCCUCAGCCUCCCAAAGUGCUGAGAUUAUAGACAUGGGCUACAAUACCUGGGCCAAAAAAAUUUUUUUAAAAGGGAAGCUUUACAUUGUAUUAUUUUUUUUUCUGGACAAUGCCUUAUGUUCCUUAAACAGAAGUCUACCUAAAUAAUAAAAUGUGAAGUUUUCCUCUCACAGGGGAGAAGUAGAGUCUCCAGGAGUUAUCUCAUGGGUUGGCUCAGGUUGACAGAGGCAGGCACAGGCCUACUGGGCUGGACAAACCACAUCAUGUGCUUAUCCUUUCCACCAUGUUGCUUAAUUUUUCUACCCUAGGAGGCCUCAAUAGAUUGUAAAGGUUUUAAGAUUGAGACACAAUUUUUUCAGUCAUGUUUGCCGCUGGCCUAAAAAUGUCUGGCAAAUCCAGUCCUGAAACCCCAAGGGACAUCUUAGAAUGCCAAGUACGUCAAUAGUAACACACUCGCACUCUAUAAAAUGGGCUGAGGGUCUUCUAUGUGCUAGGCCCUCUAAUUCUUUCGAUAGGAACUAGAGACAUGAAUGAAUGUGCUUCCUCCUCCUCAGCUUCCUGCUCCCCAGCAUGUGCUGAGAGGGUGGUCCUCCAGCUCCCAGCCAGGACUGGGGUAGCCCAAGGCACAUCUGCUAACUCCACCGUGAGCACACAUGGUGUACCCUAGAGUCACAAAUCAAUAGUGGGAUUCCCUCAUGGACAAAGGUGGGAGCACCUGCCUUAGGUUAAGGAGGCACAUUAGGAGGUGACCAGAGGCACAAGCCUCAUGGUCUGACAGGUUUGAGGUUGAUUCUGCUGGUGAUUAGUUAGACAAUGUGUCCAUAUGACUUAACUCUAAAGGAAUUUAGUCUUCUCACUUAUAAAAUAGGAAGAAUGAAACCAAUGAGGUUCUUCCUGUGUCAUGAAGCCAACAAGCCUGGACUAUCCUUGGCCCUCAAUACAUGUCAGCUGUUUGGGGAAGCUCAAUAGUAUCCUCCUCUUGCUUCCAAUUAAAGUUUUCAUUCCCAUUAUAUUCCUAGCUGGGUAAAGAAGACUUAGGCAAUAAGUCAAAGUCAUACUAAGUAAAUUUUUAAAAAUCGAUAGCAAACGCAAUUUUUUUAGCAAAUGCAUUUUUGAGUUUCUAGGCUAAAUUUAUUAAUAGUUCUACAUACGAUUUUUCUACCCUUUUCUCCUGUACAGAGUAGACAACUCAGAGUCCAAUUUUCCUGCCUCCCAUCACUAUGG